GCCGUGGCUCAGUGGUAGAGCAUCUGUUUGGCAUACUGAAUGGUCCCAGGUUCAGUCCCCGGCAUCUCCA
rnacentral:tRNA from 1 species